rnacentral:rRNA from 1 species
AAAUUUUCAAAUAGGGAGGAAAAGAAACCAACAGGGAUUGCCUCAGUAACGGCGAGUGAAGCGGCAAAAGCUCAAAUUUGAAAUCUAGCACCUUCGGUGUUUGAGUUGUAAUUUGAAGAUGGUAACCUUGGGUUUGGCUCUUGUCUAUGUUCCUUGGAACAGGACGUCAUAGAGGGUGAGAAUCCCGUCUGAUGAGAUGCCCAUUCCUAUGUAAGGUGCUAUCGAAGAGUCGAGUUGUUUGGGAAUGCAGCUCUAAGUGGGUGGUAAAUUCCAUCUAAAGCUAAAUAUUGGCGAGAGACCGAUAGCGAACAAGUACAGUGAUGGAAAGAUGAAAAGAACUUUGAAAAGAGAGUGAAAAAGUACGUGAAAUUGUUGAAAGGGAAGGGCAUUAGAUCAGACUUGGUGUUUUACGAUUAUCUUCUCUUCUUGAGUUGUGCACUCGUAUUUCACUGGGCCAGCAUCGAUUCGGAUGGCAAGAUAAUGGCAGUUGAAUGUGGCUUCACUUCGGUGGAGUGUUAUAGCUUCUGCUGAUAUUGCCUGUCUGGAUCGAGGGCUGCGUCUUUUGACUAGGAUGCUGGCGUAAUGAUCUAAUGCCGCCCGUCUUAACCCCCCGAC